AGUGAACGCUGGCGGUAGGCCUAACACAUGCAAGUCGAACGGCAGCACAGUAAGAGCUUGCUCUUACGGGUGGCGAGUGGCGGACGGGUGAGGAAUACAUCGGAAUCUACUUUUUCGUGGGGGAUAACGUAGGGAAACUUACGCUAAUACCGCAUACGACCUACGGGUGAAAGCAGGGGAUCUUCGGACCUUGCGGGAUUGAAUGAGCCGGUGUCGGAUUAGCUUGUGGGCGGGGUAAAGGCCCACCAAGGCGAUGAUGGGUAGCUGGUAUGAGAGGGUGACCGGCCACAGGGGGACUGAGAUACGGCCAGGGCGCCGACGGGAGGCAGGAGUGGGGAAGAGUGCACAAGGGGCGGAAGCCUGAGGGAGCAACGCCGGGUGCGGGAGGACGGCCUUCGGGUGGGAAACAGCUUUCGCCUGUGACGAAGCGUGAGGGACGGUAAUGGGUAAAGAAGCACCGGCUAACUACGU
rnacentral:rRNA from 1 species